rnacentral:rRNA from 1 species
UACGGGGGGGGCAAGCGUUGUUCGGAAUUACUGGGCGUAAAGGGCUCGUAGGCGGCCAACUAAGUCAGACGUGAAAUCCCUCGGCUUAACCGGGGAACUGCGUCUGAUACUGGAUGGCUCGAGUGUGGGAGAGGGAUGCGGAAUUCCAGGUGUAGCGGUGAAAUGCGUAGAUAUCUGGAGGAACACCGGUGGCGAAGGCGGCAUCCUGGACCACGACUGACGCUGAGGAGCGAAAGCCAGGGGAGCAAGCGGG